rnacentral:rRNA from 1 species
GUCCUUGCCGUAAACUAUGUAUACUUGGUGUAACCGGACUCAACCCUGGUUGUGCCGUAGCUAACGCGAUAAGUAUACCGCCUGGGGAGUACGCUCGCAAGGGUGAAACUCAAAAGAAUUGACGGGGACCCGCACAAGCAGUGGAGAAUGUGGUUUAAUUCGAUGCAACGCGAAGAACCUUACCCAGACUUGACAUACAGUGGAAGUUAGCAGAAAUGUUAACGCCCUUCGGGCCGCUGAACAGGUGCUGCAUGGCUGUCGU